rnacentral:rRNA from 1 species
GAUGAACGCUAGCGGCAGGCCUAACACAUGCAAGUCGAACGGUAACAGGAAAAGCUUGCUUUUUUGCUGACGAGUGGCGCACGGGUGCGUAACGCGUAUACAAUCUGCCUUUUACUGGGGGAUAGCCUUUGGAAACGAAGAAUAAUACCCCAUAGUAUCUAAAUUUCGCAUGUUAUUUAGAUUAAAGCUUCGGCGGUAAGAGAUGAGUAUGCGUUCUAUUAGCUAGAUGGUGUGGUAACGGCACACCAUGGCAACGAUAGAUAGGGGCCCUGAGAGGGGGAUCCCCCACACUGGGACUGAGACACGGCCCAGACUCCUACGGGAGGCAGCAGUGAGGAAUCUUGGACAAUGGGGGCAACCUGAUCCAGCCAUGCCGCGUGAGUGAUGAAGGCCUUAGGGUGUAAAGCUC